GAUGAACGCUAGCUACAGGCUUAACACAUGCAAGUCGAGGGGCAGCAUGGUCUUAGCUUGCUAAGGCCGAUGGCGACCGGCGCACGGGUGAGUAACACGUAUCCAACCUGCCGUCUACUCUUGGACAGCCUUCUGAAAGGAAGAUUAAUACAAGAUGGCAUCAUGAGUCCACAUGUUCACAUGAUUAAAGGUAUUCCGGUAGACGAUGGGGAUGCGUUCCAUUAGAUAGUAGGCGGGGUAAUGGCCCACCUAGUCUUCGAUGGAUAGGGGUUCUGAGAGGAAGGUCCCCCACAUUGGAACUGAGACACGGUCCAAACUCCUACGGGAGGCAGCAGUGAGGAAUAUUGGUCAAUGGGCGAGAGCCUGAACCAGCCAAGUAGCGUGAAGGAUGACUGCCCUAUGGGUUGUAAACUUCUUUUAUAAAGGAAUAAAGUCGGGUAUGCAUACCCGUUUGCAUGUACUUUAUGAAUAAGGAUCGGCUAACUCCGUGCCAGCAGCCGCGGUAAUACGGAGGAUCCGAGCGUUAUCCGGAUUUAUUGGGUUUAAAGGGAGCGUAGAUGGACGUUUAAGUCAGUUGUGAAAGUUUGCGGCUCAACCGUAAAAUUGCAGUUGAUACUGGAUAUCUUGAGUGCAGUUGAGGCAGGCGGAAUUCGUGGUGUAGCGGUGAAAUGCUUAGAUAUCACGAAGAACUCCGAUUGCGAAGGCAGCCUGCUAAGCUGCAACUGACAUUGAGGCUCGAAAGUGUGGGUAUCAAACAGGAUUAGAUACCCUGGUAGUCCACACGGUAAACGAUGAAUACUCGCUGUUUGCGAUAUACAGCAAGCGGCCAAGCGAAAGCGUUAAGUAUUCCACCUGGGGAGUACGCCGGCAACGGUGAAACUCAAAGGAAUUGACGGGGGCCCGCACAAGCGGAGGAACAUGUGGUUUAAUUCGAUGAUACGCGAGGAACCUUACCCGGGCUUAAAUUGCAGAUGAAUUACGGUGAAAGCCGUAAGCCGCAAGGCAUCUGUGAAGGUGCUGCAUGGUUGUCGUCAGCUCGUGCCGUGAGGUGUCGGCUUAAGUGCCAUAACGAGCGCAACCCUUGUUGUCAGUUACUAACAGGUUCCGCUGAGGACUCUGACAAGACUGCCAUCGUAAGAUGUGAGGAAGGUGGGGAUGACGUCAAAUCAGCACGGCCCUUACGUCCGGGGCUACACACGUGUUACAAUGGGGGGUACAGAGGGCCGCUACCACGCGAGUGGAUGCCAAUCCCAAAAACCUCUCUCAGUUCGGACUGGAGUCUGCAACCCGACUCCACGAAGCUGGAUUCGCUAGUAAUCGCGCAUCAGCCACGGCGCGGUGAAUACGUUCCCGGGCCU
rnacentral:rRNA from 1 species